rnacentral:rRNA from 1 species
CCUACGGGAGGCAGCAGUGGGGGAUAUUGCACAAUGGGGGGAACCCUGAUGCAGCGACGCCGCGUGGGUGAAGGAGUGCUUCGGCAUGUAAAGCCCUAUCGGCAGGGAAGAAGCAAGACGGUACCUGACUAAGAAGCCACGGCUAACUACGUGCCAGCAGCCGCGGUACUACGUAGUGGGCAAGCGUUGUCCGGAUUCACUGGGUGUAAAGGGAGCGCAGACGGCCAUGCAAGCCAGGUGUGAAAGCCCGGGGCCCAACCCCGGGACUGCCCUUGAAACUGGAUGGCUUGAGUGCGGUAGGGGCAGGCGGAAUUCCUGGUGUAGCGGUGAAAUGCGUAGAUAUCAGGAGGAACACCGGCGGCGAAGGCGGCCUGCUGGGCCGCGACUGACGUUGAGGCUCGAAAGCGUGGGGAGCGAACAGGAUUAGAUACCCCUGUAGUC